AGCACUAGAGAUUACAGAGGCCUCCAUUCAUCAAAGAGUGCUUCUCCAGAAGGAGAUCUCCAUAAAAAAGGCUGGAUUGUAGGAGACUCUCAAGAAGCUAGGGCUCUAGGAAAAAUCUAUUAUGUAAUAAAACCUAGUCAUUUAUUAAUGACACUUAUGAAUGAUAAGUUAUAUUUAUUUCUGCCAUUUUCGCCUCAUUCAAACAUUACAGAUAAGCAGAACAGACAAAAUGAACCACAUAUAUACAUCAACUAUUCAAAAGUCAAGCAAUUGUUC
rnacentral:lncRNA from 1 species